GGCUGUCUGUGCGCCGUGUGCGGUUACCCUAACCUCAGUGCUUUCGGUAUAGGAGUUGGCGCGGUUUCGAAUUGUUGUGCUAGUGUUUCCUAUUUAGGGAAACAAACAAGGUCUUAUAUUCGCUGGAUCUGUUGGAUAGCUAGCCAAGUAACGUAAGGUCUGGUAGGUGUGCAGAGAUGCUCAGAUUCAUCAAACGUGGUCACCACCACGAGAGCGAAGCUCGCCAGAAGCUGCAGAAAGAGCUGUUCGAGUUCAAGAAGACGGUGCGCCAUGGCUUCCCGCAUCGACCGAGCGCGAUGGCCUAUGACCCAAUGCUUAAGCUGCUAGCCAUCGGUACUCGCAAUGGACAAGUCAGGAUGUAUCCUUGCCAUAGAUCUGUU